UACAGAGGUCCCAAGCGUUGUUCGGAUUCACUGGGCGUAAAGGGUGCGUAGGUGGCCGGUUAAGUCUGACGUGAAAUCUCCGAGCCUAACCCGGAAACUGCAUCGGAAACUAUCCGGCUCGAGGGUUGGAGGGGGGACUGGAAUACUUGGUGUAGCAGUGAAAUGCGUAGAUAUCAAGUGGAACACCAGUGGCGAAGGCGAGUCCCUGGACAACUCCUGACACUGAGGCACGAAAGCUAGGGGAGCAAACAGG
rnacentral:rRNA from 1 species